GGAUAUAUAAUGAUAAUUCCUCAACUUAGCUCCAUUUUCAACCCGAAAGCCCAAACCAAGAUCCGACAACCCGAUAAAUACACACACACACAUUGUAAAAUCAAGAAAUUUGAUAAAAUUGAAUCUUUGAAGGAAAAGUUUCUGAGAUCUUUGAGGAUUUUUGUACUUUGAAGUGCAUGUACCAAUGGAAAGUUCUGUAGUUGCAGAAAAUGACACUAAUGCCCCAGAGGAUGAUGUGAAGGAGAGGUGUUGGGACCAAAGAGAAGCACUACCGGACGAGCCUCGAUGUGUUAUAUGUGGCCACUAUGGGGAGUACAUUUGUGAUGAGACUGAUGAUGAUAUUUGCAGCUUGGAAUGCAAAGGUAUAUUGUUGUCUCGACUUGCAAAAUCGAGGCAACCAACUGGUCGUCCAUGUCCUGUGAAGUUACCAGCAACUGAUGAGUGCUAUUAUGUUAGGGAUAAUGAUAAUAAAUCUGAAGUGAAACCACUAACAACUGAUCAGACUGAACUCAUGAGAAGGAAACUUGAUAUUCUUGUGCAGGGAGACAAAACUACACCGCCUCCGAUCUUGUCAUUUGCUUCUUGCAAGCUACCUCAGAAGCUUCUAGAUAAUAUCGAAGUUGCCGGUUAUGAAAUGCCAACUCCUGUCCAAAUGCAAGCAAUCCCUGCUGCUUUAGCACGGCAAAGCUUGCUUGUUUCGGCGGAGACUGGUUCUGGUAAAACCGGCUCUUUUCUAAUUCCUAUAGUUUCUCAAUGUGUAAAAGUUAAUGAAGAGCAUUUCCCGAACCAGCAGAUGCCAUUAGCUAUGGUCCUCACACCUACUAGAGAACUCUGCAUACAGGUAGAGGAUCAAGCUAAGGUGCUCGGGAAGGGUUUGCUCUUCAAAACGGCUUUGGUUGUAGGUGGUGACGCCAUGGCAGGACAGCUCCACCGCAUCCAACAGGGAGUAUCUUUAAUUGUGGGAACUCCUGGAAGGCUCAUUGACCUUUUAAUGAAGCACGAGAUUGAACUGGAUACUAUUUCAAUUCUUGUUCUUGACGAAGUAGAUUGCAUGCUCCAAAGAGGUUUCCGUGAGCAGGUGAUGCAAAUAUUUACGGCUUUGUCUCAACCUCAAGUGUUAAUGUUUUCCGCAACAAUUCCUAAAGAAGUAGAGAAGAUGGCAAGCACAAUGGCCAAAAAGGUCACUGUCAUCUCUGUUGGGAAGCCAAAUAAACCUAAUCAGGCUGUUAAGCAGUUAGCUAUUUGGGUAGACUCGAAGCGGAAGAAGCAAAAGCUUUUCGAUAUUUUGAUGAGCAAGCAGCAUUACAAGCCACCAGUUAUUGUAUUUGUGGGUUCUAGGCUCGGAGCAGAUCUCCUUUCUGAAGCAAUAACAGUAAGUACUGGGCUAAAAGCAUUAUCAAUUCACGGUGAGAAAUCCAUGAAGGAUAGGAGAGAAAUCAUAAGGUCAUUUCUAGUUGGAGAAAUUCCAGUUGUUGUGGCCACAGGGGUAUUGGGUCGAGGAAUCGAUCUGUUGACUGUGAGACAGGUAAUUGUGUUUGAUAUGCCAAAUUCAAUCAAGGAGUAUGUGCACCAGGUUGGAAGGGCAUCUAGAAUGGGGGAGGAAGGUACGGCAAUUGUCUUUGUGAAUGAAGAGAACAAGAAAUUGUUCCCCGAGUUGGUUGAAGCUCUUAAAACAUCUGGUGCUGCGAUUCCCCGAGAGCUUGCUAAUUCAAGGUAUUCUGUUAGCUCUUUCUCUGCUGGCAAAGGUCAGAAAAAACGAAAACAUGGUUUCUGAAGAUGUUGGUCUCCCUUCCCCCUCUGUUGCAUAAAGCUCCCCGUGCUAAGAAUUAAGAGUACUUAUUAGACCUGGUGGUCAAAAUUGUCUUGCUUGAACAUUAGCCUCCUUUUAUGUUCACAAAUUCUCUCAGGCAACUGGAUUCUGUCAGAGACACAGUAUCUAGGUCCAUAAGUAUUUAUACAUGUAUAUACUGUGUAGCGUGCAUAUUUUACACGUGAUGAUUUUUCUCGUGCUAAAAGAAGAUGUUUCUGAUUUGGAACUGGAGAACUGAAAACCUGCUGGGGCAUUUUGAUUAUUGAAUUGAUGGGCACAAAGGGUGUGCUUCUCAAAGCUGAAGCAGCCGCUGUUGCUUACUCAUCCUUGUGUUGCUUUCGUCAAUCUUCAAAGUCAAUAAGGAUAUAAAGUUUUGGCGAUGCUCGGUUGUAUCUGCGGUUGGACUGUAUAUCCUGUGCUAUCCAAGACUUUGCACGGUUGGCAUCAGAGAGUAUAGACGCUUUUGCAGAAUCCUGAUAGGACAAGACUGCUGCAGGUUUAAUAGUGCGGGUAAAUCAGGAGAUUGUAAAUGUCGAAGGCAGCUAUCUACUUGUCGGUUAGGAGCAAGCGGGGGAAAAGGAGGAGAUUUGGAGGCAACAGUUACUUGUUGAAAACUGUUGAUUUUGAGAUGCUAAUACUAGUUGUCAACUGUGCACAAAUGUUUAAAACACUCAAUUUUCCCUGGUUAAUAGGUAGACUUCAGGCGGAUAAAUGAGCACGUUACCAAUUGCUUUGAUGCUUGGAAGAGGCUUUUGAUUUGAUUCUUUAUAAGAGGAAGCAACAAUUAAUUAAGUCCAAAAAAUAGAGAAAAUGGAGGAGAACUUCAACAAAUUCUAUCACAUCUCAGUUGUACUGGUUUUGAAAUUUAACUAAACCUCUUAUAGCUUCUGUAUAAAUUAUUGCAAGCUUGUGGUUUAAUGGGGUUAAUAUCUUGCAAAACAUUAGAGAUCUUAAGUCUCAAGCUAGAUGCCAGAUCUUCCACAAAGCAUAAGUAAUAGAUUCGUUUGAACAUUAGCACAUCUAUUGCCUAUGAUUUGUGGAAGAAAUGCAUGAAAUUUGGCAUCUGGCUUGAGACUUAGGAUCUUUAAUGUUUUGCAAGGUAUCAAGCCCAUUUAGCCUGGAGCUUGCAGAAAUUUAUUCAGGAGCUAUAAGAGAUUUAGGUAAAUCGCAAAUCUAUUAUAAGGAGAUGUGAAAGGAUUUAUUGGAUCAUUUUCUCUUGAGGA